rnacentral:tRNA from 1 species
GCCGUUGUAGCUCAGAUGGCAAGAGUGUCUAGCUCCUGAGUGGAAGGUCCCGGGUUCAAUCCCAGGUAGGGGCA